CACGUAGGGCGCAAGCGUUGUCCGGAAUUAUUGGGCGUAAAGAGCUCGUAGGCGGUCUGUUGCGUCUGCUGUGAAAACUCGGGGCUUAACCCCGAGCCUGCAGUGGAUACGGGCAGACUAGAGGUAGGUAGGGGAGAAUGGAAUUCCCGGUGUAGCGGUGAAAUGCGCAGAUAUCAGGAGGAACACCGGUGGCGAAGGCGGGUCUCUGGGCAACAACUGACGCUGAGGAGCGAAAGCGUGGGGAGCGAACAGG
rnacentral:rRNA from 1 species